AUUGAACGCUGGCGGCAGGCUUAACUCAUGCAAGUCGAGCGGAGACGAGGUGCUUGCACCUUAUCUUAGCGGCGGACGGGUGAGUAAUGCUUAGGAAUCUGCCUAUUAGUGGGGGACAACAUUCCGAAAGGAAUGCUAAUACCGCAUACGUCCUACGGGAGAAAGCAGGGGAUCUUCGGACCUUGCGCUAAUAGAUGAGCCUAAGUCGGAUUAGCUAGUUGGUGGGGUAAAGGCCUACCAAGGCGACGAUCUGUAGCGGGUCUGAGAGGAUGAUCCGCCACACUGGGACUGAGACACGGCCCAGACUCCUACGGGAGGCAGCAGUGGGGAAUAUUGAACAAUGGGGGGAACCCUGAUCCAGCCAUGCCGCGUGUGUGAAGAAGGCCUUAUGGUUGUAAAGCACUUUAAGCGAGGAGGAGGCUACUGAGACUAAUACUCUUGGAUAGUGGACGUUACUCGCAGAAUAAGCACCGGCUAACUCUGUGCCAGCAGCCGCCGUAACAC
rnacentral:rRNA from 1 species